UACGAAGGGGGCUAGCGUUGUUCGGAAUUACUGGGCGUAAAGCGCACGUAGGCGGAUUGGUCAGUUAGGGGUGAAAUCCCAGGGCUCAACCCUGGAACUGCCUUUAAUACUGCCAAUCUAGAGUCCGAGAGAGGUGAGUGGAAUUCCGAGUGUAGAGGUGAAAUUCGUAGAUAUUCGGAAGAACACCAGUGGCGAAGGCGACUCACUGGACACAUAUUGACGCUGAGGUGCGAAAGCGUGGGGAGCAAACAGG
rnacentral:rRNA from 1 species